rnacentral:lncRNA from 1 species
AAUCUUGUUUAAAAACUGGUUUUAAAAUAAUUACUGAUUUUCUGAAAAAGAUGUGAUCAGUUUUCAUCUUGUUGAGCGUUUUUUCACUAGUGCAACUUUGGAUUUUUUAUGAGAAUUUUGGUACCUUAAUGAACACCUCGCUCCAUGCUGGAAGCACUAAGCACAAAGCUUUUAAAGACAUUCUGACUUGACUAUUUGAGGUCGCACUCGCCAAGGCUGAGGAUGUGUAACCCUUAAACGGUCUUCAUUGUCAAAGGAAAUGUCAGCCAUCGUGGGAAGUCAGAGACACAGGUUGUGCCCGAGGAGCAAGCAUAGGGGCUUUCCUUCGAAUUCUGGACGGCCUACGAAUCGUCAACUCACCAACGUGCCUAGUCAGUACAUGAAUUCACUUGGGAGCUUGAAAAUCACCUGAA